CAUUCACCUAGCUGCUGAGCCCCAGGCUUGCUCCACCUCUACUCAUAACUAACGCUGGGAAGAGGCGUGGCCGAGUCUGCAGGGACAUCACGGGACCACGGGCACCACUCCUCCUCUCAGCGUACACCUAGAGAGCAGAUGAGGCUGCAGUUCAGCAAGCAGCAGCACACUACAGAAAAUGGCGCCCCAUUGUGUUUCUCUUUUACUGCCUGCAUAUAACAAGGUAUACUGCUAGUUUACAGAGGUGUCUUCUGAGAAUGGGAAGUAGGAGAGUGUCGUGAUGUCCACAGGGUCCAUCCAGGUUCCCUGAUACAAAACUAGGAUUUGGUAAAUGAGGCAGGCAGAAUAAUUCUGGACUCACCUCUUGCUGCUGAUAGAAUGCGGACCCGAUGGAAACCUGUUGUAAUUUGACAAUCCUUCUC